GACGAACGCUGGCGGCGUGCUUAACACAUGCAAGUCAAGGGGAAAAUAGUUUUCGGAUUAUGAGUACACUGGCGCACGGGUGAGUAAUAUGUAAGUAACCUACCCAUAGAUUUGGGAUAACGUUGAGAAAUUAACGCUAAUACCAAAUAAUAUAACGGUGUCUCCUGGCACUGUUAUCAAAGUUGCUUCGGUAACGUCUACGGAUGGGCUUGCAUCAGAUUAGCUUGUUGGUGGGGUAAUGGCCCACCAAGGCAACGAUCUGUAGCUGGUCUGAGAGGAUGAUCAGCCACACUGGAACUGAGACACGGUCCAGACUCCUACGGGAGGCUG
rnacentral:rRNA from 1 species